AUUGAACGCUGGCGGCAGGCCUAACACAUGCAAGUCGAGCGAGCGGCGGACGGGUGAGUAAUGCCUGGGAAUUGCCCAGUCGAGGGGGAUAACAGUUGGAAACGACUGCUACUACCGCCUACGAAUGGAUUGCCCAGGUGGGAUUAGCCAGUUGGUGAGGUAAUGGCUCACCAAGGCGACGAUCCCUAGCUGGUCUGAGAGGAUGGUCAGCAACACUGGAGCUGAGACACGGGCCAGAAUCCGACGGGAGGCAGCAGUGGGGAAUAUUGGACAAUGGGGGAAACCCUUAUUCAGCCAUGCCGCGUGAGUGAAGAAGGCCUUCGGGUUGUAAAGCACUUUCAGCGAGGAGGCGUUACUCGCAGAAUAAGCACCGGCUAACUCCGUGCCAGCAGCCGCGGUAAUUC
rnacentral:rRNA from 1 species